GACGAACGCUGGCGGCGUGCCUAAUACAUGCAAGUCGAACGAACUCUGGUAUUGAUUGGUGCUUGCAUCAUGAUUUACAUUUGAGUGAGUGGCGAACUGGUGAGUAACACGUGGGAAACCUGCCCAGAAGCGGGGGAUAACACCUGGAAACAGAUGCUAAUACCGCAUAACAACUUGGACCGCAUGGUCCGAGUUUGAAAGAUGGCUUCGGCUAUCACUUUUGGAUGGUCCCGCGGCGUAUUAGCUAGAUGGUGGGGUAACGGCUCACCAUGGCAAUGAUACGUAGCCGACCUGAGAGGGUAAUCGGCCACAUUGGGACUGAGACACGGCCCAAACUCCUACGGGAGGCAGCAGUAGGGAAUCUUCCACAAUGGACGAAAGUCUGAUGGAGCAACGCCGCGUGAGUGAAGAAGGGUUUCGGCUCGUAAAACUCUGUUGUUAAAGAAGAACAUAUCUGAGAGUAACUGUUCAGGUAUUGACGGUAUUUAACCAGAAAGCCACGGCUAACUACGUGCCAGCAGCCGCGGUAAUACGUAGGUGGCAAGCGUUGUCCGGAUUUAUUGGGCGUAAAGCGAGCGCAGGCGGUUUUUUAAGUCUGAUGUGAAAGCCUUCGGCUCAACCGAAGAAGUGCAUCGGAAACUGGGAAACUUGAGUGCAGAAGAGGACAGUGGAACUCCAUGUGUAGCGGUGAAAUGCGUAGAUAUAUGGAAGAAACACCAGUGGCGAAGGCGGCUGUCUGGUCUGUAACUGACGCUGAGGCUCGAAAGUAUGGGUAGCAAACAGGAUUAGAUACCCUGGUAGUCCAUACCGUAAACGAUGAAUGCUAAGUGUUGGAGGGUUUCCGCCCUUCAGUGCUGCAGCUAACGCAUUAAGCAUUCCGCCUGGGGAGUACGGCCGCAAGGCUGAAACUCAAAGGAAUUGACGGGGGCCCGCACAAGCGGUGGAGCAUGUGGUUUAAUUCGAAGCUACGCGAAGAACCUUACCAGGUCUUGACAUACUAUGCAAAUCUAAGAGAUUAGACGUUCCCUUCGGGGACAUGGAUACAGGUGGUGCAUGGUUGUCGUCAGCUCGUGUCGUGAGAUGUUGGGUUAAGUCCCGCAACGAGCGCAACCCUUAUUAUCAGUUGCCAGCAUUAAGUUGGGCACUCUAGUGAGACUGCCGGUGACAAACCGGAGGAAGGUGGGGAUGACGUCAAAUCAUCAUGCCCCUUAUGACCUGGGCUACACACGUGCUACAAUGGAUGGUACAACGAGUUGCGAACUCGCGAGAGUAAGCUAAUCUCUUAAAGCCAUUCUCAGUUCGGAUUGUAGGCUGCAACUCGCCUACAUGAAGUCGGAAUCGCUAGUAAUCGCGGAUCAGCAUGCCGCGGUGAAUACGUUCCCGGGCCUUGUACACACCGCCCGUCACACCAUGAGAGUUUGUAACACCCAAAGUCGGUGGGGUAACCUUUUAGGAACCAGCCGCCUAAGGUGGGACAGAUGAUUAGGGUG
rnacentral:rRNA from 2 species